GAUGAACGCUGGCGGCGUGCCUAAUACAUGCAAGUCGAGCGAACAGACGAGGAGCUCGCUCCUCUGACGUUAACGGCGGACGGGUGAGUAACACGUGGAUAACCUACCUAUAAGACUGGGAUAACUUCGGGAAACCGGAGCUAAUACCGGAUAAUAUAUUGAACCGCAUGGUUCAAUAGUGAAAGACGGUUUUGCUGUCACUUAUAGAUGGAUCCGCGCCGCAUUAGCUAGUUGGUAAGGUAACGGCUUACCAAGGCAACGAUGCGUAGCCGACCUGAGAGGGUGAUCGGCCACACUGGAACUGAGACACGGUCCAGACUCCUACGGGAGGCAGCAGUAGGGAAUCUUCCGCAAUGGGCGAAAGCUUGACGGAGCAACGCCGCGUGAGUGAUGAAGGUCUUCGGAUCGUAAAACUCUGUUAUUAGGGAAGAACAAAUGUGUAAGUAACUAUGCACGUCUUGACGGUACCUAAUCAGAAAGCCACGGCUAACUACGUG
rnacentral:rRNA from 1 species